rnacentral:ncRNA from 1 species
GAGAGUAGUUCAGUAUCGAGUCGUUCAAAAGAUGACUUGUCUGGUUGGCAGACCGCUACUUUCACCAUCCACAGACCAAAAACUUUGCAUUUUUGAAGUAUGCAAAUACUAAGAGACAAAGGAAAAGUGUCUGUCAGUCGUAGGCGAAAGGUGACUACAUAGUAAUGAGAUGUUCAUUGCCGUUGUGGGUUCCCAAGACCCAAACGAUUCUUGAGAACGUUCUCUAAUCCCGCAAGGAUUCACUGGGGUGGCAACCUCGGAGAGUAACAAGUACAAAGAGAGUAACCGACGACUCAAGGAAUGGUAACCCUAAGUGACCGUCACUGAGAAUUACUACUCAAAAGGUAGUGGAAACGGGAAGAAAAAAUAAUGUCCCCAAAGAUUCUUAAUCAAAGGUGUAUUCUCAACCU